rnacentral:rRNA from 1 species
GUGGGGAAUUUUGGACAAUGGGCGCAAGCCUGAUCCAGCAAUGCCACGUGCAGGAAGAAGGCCUUCGGGUUGUAAACUGCUUUUGUACGGAACGAAACGGUCCGGGUUAAUACCCUGGGCUAAUGACGGUACCGUAAGAAUAAGCACCGGCUAACUACGUGCCAGCAGCCGCGGUAAUACGUAGGGUGCAAGCGUUAAUCGGAAUUACUGGGCGUAAAGCGUGCGCAGGCGGUUUUGUAAGACAGGCGUGAAAUCCCCGGGCUCAACCUGGGAAUUGCGGUUGUGACUGCAAGGCUGGAGUGCGGCAGAGGGGGAUGGAAUUCCGCAUGUAGCAGUGAAAUGCGUAGAUAUGCGGAGGAACACCGAUGGCGAAGGCAAUCCCCUGGGCCUGCACUGACGCUCAUGCACGAAAGCGUGGGGAGCAAACAGGAUUAGAUACCCGGGUAGUCC